AUAAAAUUAAAGCAUAAUAAAAAGCUUUAGCUCAUUUAAAUUCCUCGGAUUUUCUUAAUUGGUCUGUUGGAUUCACCUACAGCGGUCAGUUUUAUUACAACACUGUAUCAAAGUAACUGUGUGUGUGUGCAGAUACAUUAACUCACAGCAGAGCAUUUGAACGUCUGAGGGACAGAAAGAGAGAAUGAGUGCUGAAAAAUAAAGCCCAGGUCAGGGGUGCACGCAUUAGACCAUCUUGUUUGGUGCAUUUUCAGGUGACUGGGCCCCCAGGAUCCCACCCUGCUGGCCCCCCGUGCUGCAUCCAUCAUACUCAGAGACUGAUUGAGCUGACCUUCAGUCCUGCCCCUGCAGACCCCGGGGCUUCCUGUUCUUUGUUGAGCCUCUCACAAAGAGUAGUGCUAUCACACAGACAGGGGGACGUCUGAGAAGGGAGUCUGGGGGAGUCCACCCAGGGCGAGGUGGGGACAGGUCAGGGGGUAAGAGAGGAUCCUCUGAGAGAGAGACAGAGAGAGAGAGAGAGCUGAAGACCCCCACUCUGUUUUUUCACUUUCUCCCAGAUGAAGAAAAGGCAGAGAGUGCUGUCCUCACUCUGUCACACAAGCAUGUGUGUGUGUGUGUGUGUCUGCACACACACACACACACACACACACAGAGAGAACACAGGAGAUGAAUGAAUGUGUGCAGAAUUGAAUUGUGCUCUGGCAGUGGGAGGACGACCACUCCAGGGUUUGUAAAGGACCAGGAAAGUUCACUUGUUCCUCCUCUGUGUCGAUCUGUGGCCCUGUGAAAUCUGAGGUGGCCUCCGAGAAGUAACUGCAGCGAUGAGGUGUCAUCACGGAAAUGAUCAAUACAUGUCACAGAAGAAGAAUGAAAUCACAUCCUGGAACAAUUUUAAAGGAGCGUUUUUCAUUUAACAUAUUGCAUUUGAACAGUUUAAUCUAACCACUAGCUGUGCUAUGCUAAUGUUUGUGAGCUAAGUUAUGCUAAUGUUUACUUCACUUCACAGUCCGAUGUAUGGGCUUCCUUGGAAUAAUAUGUUGCCCUAUUGUAUGUAUUUAUUGGACUGAUUUAAGUCUAGCUCAUUACUCUUAACUUUGAUUGGCUAAUAUUACUAUUAAUUUAUUAUUUAUUUAUCAGGGCCAUAAUGCUAGGCUAAUAUUUAGCAUUUUAAGUUAUUGCAGCAAAUGUUUUGGCUACCUAUUUUUGUUUUUGCUGUUUUUCAGGUAUUUUUUGCCUUUAGUUCAUCUUUGGCUCACUUAUGAAUAAAUAUAUUUAUAUAUAUUGUAAUAUUAAUAUUAUGCAUUUAUAGGGCAAAAUUAUGUCUUUUGUCUGACCUUAUUUUGUUAAUUUUUCAACUCAUAGCAAGAUAUUAAUUGAUCAAUGUUGGAGCAAUCUCUGGACUAAUGAUUGAUUAUUUUGACUCUGACUUUUGGGUAACAGUAAGACAACUUCUUUUGGGCAAUUUCAAACAGUUUUGUGUGGAACUUCUAGGUUUAUUCAGGCCUUCCAUUUAGCCGUUUUGUUUUUUAUUAUUCGACUAACUUUUGUGUAUUUCUCCUUUAUUUCUGUCUCUUGUUUUAGCAAAUGUCAUUGAUGUGCACAUGACUGGCUCUGAGUUUCCACUACAGCACUUAUCUCAAGUGCCGCAGCCGUUUCCAUGACGAUACGUCUCUGUGGAGCUUUGGAACAAUCGCCUGCUGGCGUUUCCUUCCUGUGGCACAAAUUUUUCAGGUGGCACAAUUGUGUAAAGAGCUGCUCCCAGUCUCAGGCCGUGGAACCUUGGAAGCAGCAAAGAUGAAGCAGUCAGAGAGAAGCGGAUUGAUUUCUGUUGUCAAAGAGACCCUGAACGGACGACUGGUUCAAGAUCGAGUCUGGGAGAGAUGCCGCUGGUGCUCUUGAUGACAUGAGGUUUUAAGAAAAAUAGCUGCGGCUAAAAAGCCUCGGCAAGGUUGUUCUGCAUUGGCAUCCGAGUGUGUGUUUGUUUGAGGGGGUGCACUUGACCUCCUCCCUCUCCAGGAGUGAUGGAGGAGACGGUGGAGAGCUCCUCGAGGCUGUCAGUCAGACGUUCUCCUGUGGUGGAGCUGCUGCUGCUGCACGCCUCUGCUCUCUGCACCACAGUCACGGACUGGUGAAUAAAUAAACGGGACAGUUGCGUAACUUGACUUACAGGCCCUUCGUCUGACAGCAGUUGUUUUGGCUUUAACAGUAGGAAAUGCUGGAGGCAGUUGGUCGUCUGUGGAAAACCAGGAUAAUCGCAAAAACGUUAGAAGAAAAUAAUAGGAAAUGUGACCUGUGUUGUUUUGCAAGUAACUGCUUAUUAACUAAUUAACUUCAGUAAUAUAACGUAUUAGCUAGAGUCUUAGCGAUCACUGAUGUUUUUAUCUCCUCUUCCUCAUAAUUCUUUACUCCGGCCAGUAACACGUAGUACUUUACCGCUAAAUUGUAACCCCCUAAGCUAACAAAAUGAAGAGAAAACAAACGUCUUUGUAGGGUUUCUUUGUGCAGGGUAAAAGAGCUAAUGAGGAGACAGAAGAAGAGCCUACGUCUUCAAAGAAGAAGAAAGCUCCAUUUAACAGACUAUUCCAGGAGUCCUGCUGGAAAUAUGGAUUUAUUGCGACACGUUGUCCCCACGCACCAAGCCCACGCUGCGUAAUACGGGGUGGGCGGCUCUCCAAUGAGGCGAUGGAGACCACGUGGAGACCAAGCUUACGAGGACGUAAGUAACAAAGUUGACUACACAGUGGCUUAACGGCUAUUAUUAUAUUUAGAAAAUACCAGUUUUAGAGCUGUGUCACCAACACAACAUUCCUGAUUGUGAACAUAAUUAAAGGGUAUUUUUUACUGAUCUGGCAACUCUGGCAAUAUCUGUAUUAUCAAGAUAAAAAAAGUCAUAGAGAAUAAUUGAAAAUCCAGUCUUAGAAGGAGAAGGAGGUCAGGUUUGUCACAAAGACAUAGUUGUUGUCAUUAAACGUGGUGUGACAUCCUUGACCGCUGACCUAUUUGUGCUUUCAAAGAAAGGUUUGAAGAGACACCAUCUCAACCAUGGCAACAAAAAGUACUACAGACGAUCCCUGUGUAAAUGCAAGGGAAAAAAGAUGUCUUUGAAAAACACACGUUGUCAGUAGAGCUACUGGAUUUGGCUUAAAAUAAAUAAAGAAACGUCUUGUACAUUAAAAGAAAUUGUUCAGUGAAUUCUCAUAAUUUCUGCAAUUAUGCUGCUGAGAAUUAUGUUAUGUAUGAUUAUUAUUGUUAUUAUUUAUUAUUUAUUUAUUUGUUUUUCGGUGUAAGACGGUGUUUUUUCAUGAAGAACCGAUUCAUGUUACACAUCACUUGGAACUAAAAUCAGUGUUAAACCUUUAGUGCAACUGCAGUCCAAUCAACUAUGACAAAAAAUGUAAGUGAAACCAAAAAAAGCUUAACGUAAACCUUUCACUUGGGUUCACAAUGACCGCAUGGCAACACAAGGGCAAAUCAAAGCCAGUGGCAAAAAUAAAAAUGCCCCCAAAGGGUUUGCAUUGUUACAACCAGGCAUUAUUUGCAAGCACAGUAAAAGCACCUUUUUUCUGUGCUAACCCACAAUCAUUGAUUUCUGACUGACAGUUUUCUGUGACCUUGAACCAGAGCAGAGGUCAACACGUGACUCCUGAACCACAUCUGCUUCUUACUGAUGUAUCUGUGACUGUUAUUUAUUUAUUUUCUUUACGUAAAUCAAGUUCAAGUCAAUA